AGGACGAACGCUGGCGGCGUGCCUAACACAUGCAAGUUGAGCGACGAACCAGGGCUUGCCCUGGGGCAAAGCAGCGAACGGGUGAGUAACACGUGGGUAACCUGCCCCGAUGACCGGGACAACCCGAGGAAACUCGGGCUAAUACCGGAUGUGCUCGCCGGACGUAAGUCCGGCGCGUAAAGGAAGCUUCGGCCUCCGCUUCGGGAGGGCCCGCGGUCCAUUAGCUAGUUGGUGGGGUAAUGGCCUACCAAGGCUGCGAUGGGUAGCUGGUCUGAGAGGACGAUCAGCCACACUGGGACUGAGACACGGCCCAGACUCCUACGGGAGGCAGCAGUGGGGAAUCUUGCGCAAUGCGCGAAAGCGUGACGCAGCAACACCGCGUGAGGGAAGACGGCCUUCGGGUUGUAAACCUCUUUCAGGAGGACGAAGGUGGCGGUGAAUAGCGUGCGCUUGACGGUACCUCCGAGAAGAAGUCCGGCUAACUACGUGCCGAGCAGACGCGUAAGUC
rnacentral:rRNA from 1 species